rnacentral:sRNA from 2 species
UUGCAUUUGAAGCCCAUGAGGAUGAGAACCUCCGGGGGCGGGGAGGUUCGACUCGAGCGAAGCGAGAGAACGUUGCGCCAGCAACGGCCCGCAGGGC